GGGCCCAUAGUUUAACUGGAUAAAACGGGAGUUUCCUAAACUUCUGUUCCACGUUCGAGUCGUGGUGGGCCCA
rnacentral:tRNA from 1 species